rnacentral:rRNA from 1 species
CGCAAGCCCGACGGAGCAACGCCGCGUGUGGGAAGAAGGCUCUUGGGCUGUCAACCACUUUUCUCAGGGAAGAAGCCCUGACGGUACCUGAGGAAUCAGCCUCGGCUAACUCCGUGCCAGCAGCCGCGGUAAUACGGAGGAGGCAAGCGUUAUCCGGAAUUAUUGGGCGUAAAGCGUCCGCAGGGGGCACAUCAAGUCUGCUGUUAAAGGCUGGAGCUUAACUCCGGUAGAGCAGUGGAAACUGGUGUGCUAGAGGGCGACAGGGGUAGAGGGAAUUCCCAGUGUAGCGGUGAAAUGCGUAGAGAUUGGGAAGAACACCGGUGGCGAAAGCGCUCUACUGGGUCGCACCUGACCCCCAGGGACGAAAGCUAAGGUAGCG